GAGGAGCUUGCUCCUCUGACGUUAGCGGCGGACGGGUGAGUAACACGUGGAUAACCUACCUAUAAGACUGGGAUAACUUCGGGAAACCGGAGCUAAUACCGGAUAAUAUAUUGAACCGCAUGGUUCAAUAGUGAAAGACGGUUUUGCUGUCACUUAUAGAUGGAUCCGCGCCGCAUUAGCUAGUUGGUAAGGUAACGGCUUACCAAGGCAACGAUGCGUAGCCGACCUGAGAGGGUGAUCGGCCACACUGGAACUGAGACACGGUCCAGACUCCUACGGGAGGCAGCAGUAGGGAAUCUUCCGCAAUGGGCGAAAGCCUGACGGAGCAACGCCGCGUGAGUGAUGAAGGUCUUCGGAUCGUAAAACUCUGUUAUUAGGGAAGAACAAAUGUGUAAGUAACUAUGCACGUCUUGACGGUACCUAAUCAGAAAGCCACGGCUAACUACGUGCCAGCAGCCGCGGUAAUACGUAGGUGGCAAGCGUUGUCCGGAAUUAUUGGGCGUAAAGCGCGCGUAGGCGGUUUUUUAAGUCUGAUGUGAAAGCCCACGGCUCAACCGUGGAGGGUCAUUGGAAACUGGAAAACUUGAGUGCAGAAGAGGAAAGUGGAAUUCCAUGUGUAGCGGUGAAAUGCGCAGAGAUAUGGAGGAACACCAGUGGCGAAGGCGACUUUCUGGUCUGUAACUGACGCUGAUGUGCGAAAGCGUGGGGAUCAAACAGGAUUAGAUACCCUGGUAGUCCACGCCGUAAACGAUGAGUGCUAAGUGUUAGGGGGUUUCCGCCCCUUAGUGCUGCAGCUAACG
rnacentral:rRNA from 1 species